UUUCCGUAGGUGAACCUGCGGAAGGAUCAUUACUGAGUGAUGUCCCUCUGGGUCCAACCUCCCACCCGUUUCUAUUGUACCUUGUUGCUUCGGUGAGCCCGCCUCACGGCCGCCGGGGGCAAUCUCCCCCCGGGCCCCCGCUGACCCAACACACCCUUGAACUCUGUCUGAUGUUUCUUGCUACAACGAAACUCAAAGAAGUUAAAACUUUCAACAACGGAGCCCUUGGUUCCGGCAUCGAUCUAGAACCCAGCCGAUCGGAAUAGCACCCUUCUGAAC
rnacentral:misc_RNA from 1 species